rnacentral:rRNA from 1 species
UACGUAGGGGGCUAGCGUUGUCCGGAUUUAUUGGGCGUAAAGAGCGUGUAGGCGGCCAGGUAGGUCUGCUGUGAAAACUCGAGGCUCAACCUCGAGACGUCGGCGGAAACCAUCUGGCUAGAGUCCGGAAGAGGAGAGUGGAAUUCCUGGUGUAGCGGUGAAAUGCGCAGAUAUCAGGAGGAACACCGGUGGCGAAGGCGGCAUCCUGGACCGAGACUGACGCUGAGGAGCGAAAGCCAGGGGAGCAAACGGG